CACGAAUUCAGGUGAGCUAACGAUAUUUAUAGUAUAUGUGGCAAAAUAUUUAUUGAAAUAUAGUUAGGGGUGAAAGGCCUCUCAAACUUGAGGGUAUCUUGAUGUAAGUGAAAGAAAUUUAGUUUUAAAGGUAAUUAUGCAGCAAUAAGGUUGCGUAAAAGAUUCAAGAUUUAUUUUCGUCGGUUAUAGGCGUAAAAACCUGUAACAACUUAUAUAAAUAUGAAUAUUAACAGAAAUUACUUAACUAACUUACAAAAUUAUAACUUAAUAUUUUAAUAUAAUGUUAAUAUUAGUACUUAAUAGAUGUUAAUAGUGAACUCGGCAAUAAAGCUUUCAACUGUUUAUCAAAAACAUAACCACAUGCCUCAUAUGUGGCGAUUUCUGCUCAAUGAUAUGUUAAAUAGCCGCAGUACCCUGACUGUGCAAAGGUAGCGCAAUCAUUUGUCUCUUAAUUGGAGUCCUGUAUCAAUGAAUUUAUGGGGGCUUACUUUACCAUUGACAUAUUUUGAAUUUACUUAAAAGGUGCAAAAACCUUUAAGUAAAUAAAAGACGAGAAGACCCUUGAAAUUUUUAUAGAAGUUUUGUUGGGGCAACAAAGUAGUAUAAACCUACUUAGUGUACAUGCAAUGUGUUAGUUAGAAUAAAUUACUCUAGGGAUAACAGCAUAAUUCAUAGUGAGUUUGUGACCUCGAUGUUGGAUUAGGAUACUGCAGACCCAGAA
rnacentral:rRNA from 1 species